rnacentral:rRNA from 1 species
AUGGAUUAGCGGCGAACGGGUGAGGAACACGUGAAGAAUCUGCCCUCCACAUUGGGAUAACACCGGGAAACCGGUGCUAAUACCGAAUAUUGAAACAUAAGUGGCAUCACUGAGUUUUGAAAGAAUUUCGGUGGAGGAUGACUUCGCGGCCUAUCAGCUAGUUGGUGAGGUAAUGGCUCACCAAGGCAACGACGGGUAGCCGGCCUGAGAGGGCGACCGGCCACACUGGGACUGAGACACGGCCCAGACUCCUACGGGAGGCAGCAGUGGGGAAUAUUGGGCAAUGGAGGAAACUCUGACCCAGCGACGCCGCGUGCGGGAUGAAGGCCUUCGGGUUGUAAACCGCUUUCAGUAGGGAAGAAGCGAAAGUGACGGUACCUACAAAAGAAGCACCGGCUAACUAUGUGCCAGCAGCCGCGGUAAUACAUAGGGUGCAAGCGUUGUCCGGAAUUAUUGGGCGUAAAGAGCUCGUAGGUCGUUUGUUACGUCGGAUGUGAAAACCUGAGGCUC